UGAAUUUCAAAAAAUUUCUUUGACUAAAAUAUCUUACGAAACCAUUGCUUGAGAUCUCAUUCAAAGAAAAAUGUACCAAAUAUCUUAUGUUCUUUUCUUUAUAUUAUAUAGAUGAUAUGAUAUGAACAGAGUUUGAGAUUUGAGGUUUGGAUUAGGGUUCAUGAUUUAUGAUUCAAGUUCAUGGUUCAAGCAAUUAAGGUUUAAGAUUGAGGAUUCAAGGAUCGGAACUCAAGGAUUGCGGGAAUCAAAAAUCAAGAAUAAAGAAUCAGAAAACAGGGUUGCAGCAGCUUUCGGUGUUGUUAAAGGUCUCGGAACCCUAAGUGGUGGACCACUCCUUGAGCCAAACAUUCAAAGCGCUAGACGGAACAAUUUAUGUGAGUGAGAAUCUCUUAAUUUUUGUUUCUGUUGCUGUUGGUUUAGAUUAAUGUCUCAAGACAGGCUUUUGAACGCUUUUCCUAUUGAUUGAUCAUAGCUUAAAUACAAAUUUCAAUUAUCAUAGCUUA